AUUGAACGCUGGCGGAAUGCUUUACACAUGCAAGUCGAACGAUGAGACCUAGCUUGCUAGGUUGAUUAGUGGCGAACGGGUGAGUAAUGUAUCGGAACGUAUCCAAUAAUGGGGGAUAACUAACCGAAAGGUUAGCUAAUACCGCAUACGCCCUACGGGGGAAAGCAGGGGAUCUUCGGACCUUGAGUUCAUGGAGCGGCCGAUAUCUGAUUAGCUAGUUGGUGAGGUAAAGGCUCACCAAGGCGACGAUCAGUAGCUGGUCUGAGAGGACGACCAGCCACACUGGAACUGAGACACGGUCCAGACUCCUACGGGAGGCAGCAGUGGGGAAUUUUGGACAAUGGGCGAAAGCCUGAUCCAGCCAUUCCGCGUGAGUGAAGAAGGCCUUCGGGUUGUAAAGCUCUUUCGCAAGGGAAGAAAACUUACUUUCUAAUAAAGAGUGAGGUUGACGGUACCUUGAUAAGAAGCACCGGCUAACUACGUGCCAGCCGCCGCAGUAACAC
rnacentral:rRNA from 1 species